rnacentral:rRNA from 1 species
AUACGGAGGAUCCGAGCGUUAUCCGGAUUUAUUGGGUUUAAAGGGAGCGUAGGUGGAUUGUUAAGUCAGUUGUGAAAGUUUGCGGCUCAACCGUAAAAUUGCAGUUGAAACUGGCAGUCUUGAGUACAGUAGAGGUGGGCGGAAUUCGUGGUGGAGCGGUGAAAUGCUUAGAUAUCACGAAGAACUCCGAUUGCGAAGGCAGCUCACUAGACUGCAACUGACACUGAUGCUCGAAAGUGUGGGUAUCAAACAGGAUUAGAUACCCUGGUAGUCCACACAGUAAACGAUGAAUACUCGCUGUUUGCGAUAUACAGUAAGCGGCCAAGCGAAAGCAUUAAGUAUUCCACCUGGGGAGUACGCCGGCAACGGUGAAACUCAAAGGAAUUGACGGGG